rnacentral:rRNA from 1 species
GGUGGAGCGGUGGAAUGCGUAGAUAUCAAGAGGAAUGCCAGUGGUGAAGACGGCGCACUGGGCUUGUCCUGACGCUGAGACACGAAAGCGUGGGUAGCGAACGGGAUUAGAUACCCCGGUAGUCCACGCCGUAAACGAUGUCUACUAGGUGUUGGAAAUUCUGACAUUUUCAAGACCGAAGCAAAAGUGUUAAGUAGACCGCCUGGGGAGUACGGUCGCAAGGCUAAAACUCAAAGGAAUUGACGGGGGCUCAUACAAGCGGUGGAGCAUGUGGAUUAAUUCGAAGCAACGCGCAGGACCUUACCUGGGUUUGACAUGUUUGUAUGCCUAUCUGGAAACAGAGCCGGCUGCCUUAGGGUGAAACUUACACAGGUGCUGCAUGGCUGUCGUCAGCUCGUGUCGUGAGAUGUCGGGUUAAGUCCUUUAACGAGCGAAACCCCUACCGUUAGUUGCCAGCGCGUCAUGGCGGGGACUCUAACGGGACUGCCGGUGUUAAACCGGAGGAAGGUGGGGAUGACGUCAAGUCCUCAUGGCCUUUAUGCCCAGGGCUUCACACGUGCUACAAUGGUGACUACAGAGCGACGCGAUACCGCGAGGUGGAGCAAAUCGCACAAAAGUCAUCUCAGUCCGGAUUGCAGUCUGUCAACUCGGCUGCAUGAAGUUGGAAUCGCGUAGUAAUCGCGUAUCAGCAAUGACGCGG